rnacentral:RNase_P_RNA from 1 species
GUUUUUAGGGAAACCUAAAAAGUGGAACGCGGUAAACCCCUCAAGCUAGCAACCCAAACUUUGGUAGGGGCAUGGGAUGGCUGGAAACGAACGGACCAUUCUGACUGCUAUGCAGUAGACAGAUGAUUAUCGAAGGAAGUGGUACCUAGUCACUUCUGGAACAAAACAUGGCUUAUAGAA